rnacentral:snoRNA from 1 species
UGCCCCGUGAUGAGACCCAUCCUUGCGCUACGAGGAUUCGCAGCACUGCAUGCUGGGAAUGUGAAGGUCACCCGGGGUUUCCCGGGCCCUGCCCAGUGGGGAAGGACCUGGGGACUGAGGGCA